rnacentral:rRNA from 1 species
UACGUAGGGUGCGAGCGUUAAUCGGAAUUACUGGGCGUAAAGCGUGCGCAGGCGGUUUUGUAAGCCAGAUGUGAAAUCCCCGGGCUUAACCUGGGAAUGGCAUUUGGGACUGCAAGGCUCGAGUGCGGCAGAGGAGACUGGAAUUCCUGGUGUAGCGGUGAAAUGCGCAGAUAUCAGGAAGAACACCCGUGGCGAAGGCGGCUCUCUGGAACGCAACUGACGCUGAGACGCGAAAGCGUGGGGAGCAAACAGG